rnacentral:piRNA from 1 species
UGUGCUCUGCCUUCCUCGUGACGUCAACU